rnacentral:rRNA from 1 species
AUUGAACGCUGGCGGCAUGCCUUACACAUGCAAGUCGAACGGUAACAGCACUUCGGUGGCUGACGAGUGGCGAACGGGUGAGUAAUACAUCGGAACGUGCCCGAGAGUGGGGGAUAACGCAGCGAAAGCUGUGCUAAUACCGCAUACGAUCUACGGAUGAAAGCAGGGGACCGCAAGGCCUUGCGCUCAUGGAGCGGCCGAUGGCAGAUUAGGUAGUUGGUGGGAUAAAAGCUUACCAAGCCGACGAUCUGUAGCUGGUCUGAGAGGACGACCAGCCACACUGGGACUGAGACACGGCCCAGACUCCUACGGGAGGCAGCAGUGGGGAAUUUUGGACAAUGGGGGAAACCCUGAUCCAGCCAUGCCGCGUGCAGGAUGAAGGCCUUCGGGUUGUAACGUAGCUUUGUUACGGUAACGAAAAGGUACGUUUUCUUAAUAAAGUAAAGAACUCAUGACGGUACCGUAAGAAUAAGACACCGGCUAACUACGUAGCCAGCAGCCGCGGUAACCG